rnacentral:rRNA from 1 species
UACGUAGGGUCCAAGCGUUAAUCGGAAUUACUGGGCGUAAAGCGGGCGCAGGCGGUUUUGUAAGUCUGUCGUGAAAGCCCCGGGCUCAACCUGGGAAUUGCGAUGGAGACUGCAAGGCUUGAAUCUGGCAGAGGGGGGUAGAAUUCCACGUGUAGCAGUGAAAUGCGUAGAGAUGUGGAGGAACACCGAUGGCGAAGGCAGCCCCCUGGGUCAAGAUUGACGCUCAUGCACGAAAGCGUGGGGAGCAAACAGG